UUGCAUGUGACUCUGAUUCUGCAUGAGACAUUCAUCAGUAACUGUUUUAUUAUGUAUUCAAUUGAUUCUAUUUUUGUUAGUUACACACUGAGUUAUAAAACUCACUCUUUGUUUGUUUGUUACUUUCAGGUAACCCUCAAACUUAGGUGGGUUGGUGCGAUAAGAGCUCGGAUAUGUCCACAAUUCCGUAAAACUCUAUUUACAUAAAUUUGACUUCUUUAAAAUUUCGUUUUGAGAGUUUUGUAAUUUUUUAUCUCUCUUGACAUUUUGGGUUUAUUU
rnacentral:lncRNA from 1 species